rnacentral:rRNA from 1 species
UACGAGUGCUCCAAGCGUUAUCCGGAAUUAUUGGGCGUAAAGGGUGUGUAGGCGGUUUUAUUAGUCUCCUGUUAAAUUCUUCGGCUCAACCGGGGGUCUGCAGGGGAAACGGUAAAUCUAGAGGGUGCGAGAGGUGAAUGGAACUCAUGGUGUAGGGGUGAAAUCCGUUGAUAUCAUGGGGAACACCAAAUGCGAAGGCAAUUCACUGGCGCAUUCCUGACGCUGAAACACGAAAGCGUGGGUAGCGAAC